GGUGUUCAUCGCAAUUAUAAGAUUUAUCUGCUGUGUGAGCAAUUAUUUUGAUCCUCGCAACAACGUCCGCCAAACUCAUCUAUAUAUAAACAAUUAUUUGCAAAUUUUGUGUGAUAUAUUUCUCUUGUUUAGCUUCAUUUUUUGAGAGACUUGUAAGAAUUUAUCAUGGCAGAACACAAAGAUGAAAAAGCUGUUGCUGCUAGCGAUGCUAACGAUGUCACAUCAAACGAAGGUGUUGAAGAGCCACCGUUGUUCCCUGGAAAGCGGCCAAAUUACGGCACGAACAAUACAUUGGAGCUUUUGGAAAAAAUUCCCAGCAAAGUGGUGGAAACGAAAUUAGAUGAUGUCCUUAAAGCCGUGAAGGAUGUGGACAAUUUGUGCGACUAUACUCGUUGCAAAGCAAAAACCAAUUUAAUUGGUCACACUUGCGAAUACUGUCAAGGACGUUAUUGCUUUAAGCAUGGUCUGCCAGAAGUGCAUGGUUGUGGUGAAGCUGCCAAAAAUGGCGAACGUAAGCGUUUUUUACACCCUAAACCAGCCAAAACUAUCAAGCAAGAAGAAGAAUUAGCCAAAGCUAAAAAGAAACUAAAUGCAAAAUUGAAAGAUAUGCAAGUGGCCAGAAUGCAAAAGACUCCAGGAGCUAAAAGUGAUGUUGCUUCUAAAACUUCUAAGAAAAAGCCAAAUAAAACGUGAGAAUAAGAACAAUAGCGCUGCAGUUGUUUAGUAAAUACGAAAAGCGAACUGCGGAAGGACAAGAGCUGAGCUCCCAAAAACAUAUUUUCUGAUACGAGCCGCCUUUUGUCAAAAUUCUUAGUAUGAUGCCUUUGUUAUAAUUUCAAUUGGAAAUGUGCAUAUUUUUCAACUACAAAGAGAGAACCUCAUCACGUUCAAUAACUGCUGACUUUCAACUUGAUGGUUCUGAUAUUAUUUUAAUAGUACCCAUAUGGACAUUCGCUCAAUAUUUGUUGUUGGAAAUCUUCGUCCGCGAAUUUUCUCGGCUUAAUAUCUACGUUCUCGGAACGCUUAAAACAGUCUGUCCUUAGCAUAAAGUAAUUGAAACAAUUACUUAAAUUUUCGCAAAUUUCGGUUGAAACCGUCGGUUAUGCAAAUCCCAAAAGAAAAAAAUGUUUUUUUUU